GUGCAGUAUCAAACGUUCGGACGAUACUUCUUCAACUUCCAAAGCAAAAUGGCCGUUCGACGUCUUUCAGCUUCUGACGCGAGGACGUCCGCCCCUGCUUCCUUUCUCGCCUCGACGGGGCUCCGCUUCAAGUAAGCAUCAACGUCUCCUUCGACAGCGAUGACUCAAGGCCCAGGGAAGGAGAUCUCGCCUGCGCUCAUGAGGGCCAUCAAGGAGUCGCGGAUCGCCGUGCUUGUCUUCUCCAAGAACCACGCUUCGUCUGGGCGGUGCUUGGACUAGCCGGUGAAGGUAAUGGAGUAGAAGAGGUUCAAGAGGACAGCUGGCGUUGCCUGGGUUCCACGGAGGGGAGCCAAGGGAGAUUCGAGGAGGGAGAGAGAGAGAGAGAGAGUUAUGGCAACGCAUUGGUCUGGCACGAGGAGAAAUUGGGAAGGGUGGAUUCUGAGAAGGUGAAGAAAUGGAAGCAAGCCCUAAUCGAAGCCGCCCAUUUGUCCGGUUGGCAUUAAUAUGUCGAUGGGUAAUCACAGUAUUCCUGUUCGACCCUAUGGAAGAACGUGGAAUUCUCUAUUCUGAUCGAUACAUGAUGGCAUCAAUUAGUGCAUUAAGAGUCAUGUUUUGGAAUGUUACGGAGUGAUUGUUUAGUUCAUUUGAGAUUUAGUUAGAUCGAUCGGCCGUAUAUUUCCAUUUGUUCCCCUUCCUUUGCUACUUUGUUUUGGUGGAGAUAGACCAAGUAUCACAACUAUAGUAGGACGAAUACCUUGAGUGUGGCCAAGAAUCCUGUCAGUGUAGGUUACCGGGUGGAGAAAGUAAACUUGUUAUUAAAUACGGGCUUGAAGCUGCCUAUAACGGUAUGGCUAGUCAGUUUGGUGGGUGCAGCUUUCUUGCAUAUGUUAGAGAAACUUCCAGUAUACCCGAUGCCCUAGUUCAUUUGCAAAAAACACUAUUAUCUGAGAUUAAUGGUCUUUGGUGUGGAUGGAGGCACUAAUCUGAUACGAGAUAGACUUUGCUGCAAGAAGAUUCUACUUGUGCUUUAUGAUGUAAAUCAUGGGGACCAGUUAAAUGCAUUAGCUGGAGGAUGUGGAUGGUUUGGAAAAGGGAGUUGGAUCAUCAUGACAGCUGCGGACAAACAUGUACUAACUUCUCAUGGGAUAGAUCAGGGAACCAAUGCUAUUCGAGGCACAAUACUGGACUUGCCAACACAAGAAGAGUUAGACAUCAAUCCUAGUGCUUUCACAUAUAUGAGGAGACUGAGAUUGCUCUUAGUCCUCAAUGCACAAGUCAGUGGAGGUCCCAUAUGUCUUCCUAAAGAUUUAAAUGGCCUGGAUAUCCUUUAUCAAUGCUGAAGUUUUUUGCUGGUCUAAAGAAACUUAUUUGGUUUGAUGGGCAUAACAGCCAGAUUGAAGUACUAGUAGUUAACUUAAAGCUGCUGUAAGUCUCUGAUUAGUGUUCUGGACUUCUCAGAGGUGCCAAAUUUGGAGAUAGUGAAGUUAAGUAAGUGCUUGAACCUCAAGGAGCUUCCAGGUAAACUGAAGCUGAAAUAUCUUCAAAACUUGAUGUAACUGGCCGCUCUAAGCUUGAUAAGUUUCUUGAUGUUAAGGAUAUGGAGACCUUGACAAAAAUUUAUGUAUCUCAGACUUCUAUUAAAUAACUUCCUGCGUCAAUUAAUAACCUAAUCUCUAUUGAGGUUUGUGGAAAAGUCUUAUCAAUCUUCCUAGUAGCAUUUACAAGAUGCAAAGUCUAGAGCACCUUUCUCUUGAAGGUUAUUCAUUAUUUAGCUUGUUUUGAGGGAGCAGUGACAGCUCCAAUCUCCCUAAUGGUGGACUUGGAUUCCAAAUCUGGUCUCCCUGAAGCUUAAUGGGUGCAAUUUGUCAGAGGAAGAAUUCCUUCAGAGUCUUACCUGCUUCUCUUUUGUAAAUAUUUUGCAUCUAUAAGCAAAAUAACUUUGUUAAUCUUCCUACAUGCAUUAGCAAGUUUGAGGAGUUGAUUGUCAAUUAAAAAUUAGAUGAUUGUGAGCAGCUACAGGAGAUCUUAGAACUCCCACCAAACAUUUGUACCCUUGAAGCAAAUGGCUGCAGAGCAUUGUCCAAAUUUCCAAAAUUGCCUAGUCAGUGCAUUUAGUUCUCCAUGUCAGUGUGCGUUUGCUUAGAUUCUUGUCAUGGAUUGGUUUGUGAAGGUAUCAACCAAGCUAACGUUACACAUGUGCAAGAGCUUAUGUGAUUCUGAUUUAAUAGAUUUGCUAUAGCCGGAUGUUCGUGAGAUGGGUUACUACAUAGAUACUAUAUUUCCUGGAAGAGAGAUAGCAUGUUGGUUUAUCCAAAGUCAAGAGCAUUUUGUCUCUUUGUGGGUACCCCGACAUUUGCAUGGGAGUAACCUUGGGUUUUGUGUGUUGCUUUUGGAUGGGAGGAUGGAAUUGAGGCCAGUGUUUCGUGUGAGGUUUAGAUAUUGGUGAAUCAUGUUCAUAGUAUAUGAUACAGGAACAUUCUCUUCGUUAUAGUUUGAUCACUUGUGGUUUAACUAUAUUACAAGCCAUUCAUUUGAUGAGCUCUGCAAGCAAGCAGAGAAUGACCUAAGGAAGCACCUCAAGCAUUUAAAGAUAAUCUCAUUUAUGAGAUAUUCUUGAUUUGUGGCAAAAAGGUCCACCUGUGGAUUGCAAUUAAUUUUGAGUAUUUGAUAAUGCUUACUAUAACUUGUCGCAUUUUCUGAAUGAUUUCUUGCACUCCGCUUUCAGCAAGUUUAGCACUUGUGCUAUUUCCUGGAGAGAAUGACCCUCUUGUCCAUUUUCUACUUCUUUUUUUUUUCUUUUUUUUAUGGAUAUAUGAUGACCACAUUGACUGUCACAUCAAGCAACUUCAUCUAGGUUUGUGACGAAAGAUGGAUGGAUGGGACAUUUGUCGAUUUGGCUAGUGCUAAUGCAAAGUCAUGGAAAUUGAAUUGUGAGGGACUACUUUGCAGAUGUCAAAAAUUAAACAUAUAGACUAUUUACAUUAUUUAGCAGCCACAAAUUUGAAAUUUUUGCAGCUUAGUGUGGCUUUAGGCAGGUGGGAGUAGCCCAAAUGCUAAGAUGUAAAUGGAUAUUGAAAGAGAUUAUGUAGAUCUUACUUUUUGGCCUCAAUGUAAGUAUUGUUUGAGUCACUAUGAUUUUGUGAUUUAAAUUAUGCUAGAUUUGUAUUGCUUCUUGCGCUUUUAUCCUGUGGAUUGUAUAAUUUUUUCUAGAUUGCUUAUUGGGUCAAAAUACGAAGUAUCAGUGUCAAAACACAAGGAUACUGAAGUUCUAGCUCUUUUCUCUCUCUUUUAUGUUUAUGCAUCUAUUAAUCUCUUUAAGUUUCCCCAUUUUAUUCUAGUUGGAAUGCUUUUUAUGCAAGAUUAUAGGAGCAAUACAAUUGAUGUGAAGGUUAUCUUUUCUGAGUUUCUCAGAUGUAGAUCUGUGUCUGCAUUUAACCAAAUUAAGAUGGCAGGUGUUAAUUUUACUCUUCUGCAAAGCUUUUGGCUGUUCUGUCUCUGUGGAAGUUUGAACAAGUAAAUAGUUCCUUAUGUUUUAUGCCACAAGUAUCAAUUGUUGGAAAUCUAUCUGCUUUUUAACAAA